rnacentral:rRNA from 1 species
UACGGAGGGAGCUAGCGUUGUUCGGAAUUACUGGGCGUAAAGAGUACGUAGGUGGUUAUUCAAGUCAGAGGUGAAAUCCCGGAGCUUAACUCCGGAACUGCCUUUGAAACUAGAUAGCUAGAAUCAUGGAGAGGUUAGUGGAAUUCCGAGUGUAGAGGUGAAAGUCGUAGAUAUUCGGAAGAACACCAGUGGCGAAGGCGACUAACUGGACAUGUAUUGACACUGAGGUACGAAAGCGUGGGGAGCAAACAGG